UACGAAGGGGGCUAGCGUUGCUCGGAAUUACUGGGCGUAAAGCGUGCGCAGGCGGUCUUUUAAGUCAGAUGUGAAAUCCCCGGGCUUAACCUGGGAACUGCGUUUGAAACUGGAAGGCUAGAGUGUGGCAGAGGGGGGUGGAAUUCCACGUGUAGCAGUGAAAUGCGUAGAGAUGUGGAGGAACACCGAUGGCGAAGGCAGCCCCCUGGGCUAACACUGACGCUCAUGCACGAAAGCGUGGGGAGCAAACAGG
rnacentral:rRNA from 1 species